UAAAAGCCAAGCGAGAAAAUCUCAAAUAAAUAAAAGAGAAGUGAAAAAAAGAGGAAGAAAAAAAAAUACUCAUUUUUGGCACAAAAGACUCGUUAAGAUGAUUGUACUUGUUAAUACUAUAUUGAGUCUUAGGAGAUGGAGAGAAAAGGAAGGUGAGAGAAGUGAAUAUAAGGUGGUGAGCUUAAUUGGGACAUUGGGGGAGUAUU
rnacentral:lncRNA from 1 species